AAUGGGCAUGUGAUGAAUCUCAUAGUAACAAAUGGGUAAUUUGCGUCUGAAUAAAUUCAUUGAUGAUAUAUCACCUUGGAGAACUGAUGCCCUUA
rfam:Cajanus cajan chromosome 6, whole genome shotgun sequence.